rnacentral:lncRNA from 1 species
AGUUUUCUGUCCGGGUACUUUGUCAGUUUAUGAGAGUAGAUUCUCGUAGUCACCUACUACGAUUGUUCAGGGUCAAUCUGUGAUUUUACAUCUGGUAGCAUUUAUUUUCUGAAACUGGGUGCAGCUGUGCCUGUGGCAGACAGAGUUAGAAUAGUAAAGUCCUCCUGGCGAAUUGUCCUUAAUCAGUAUGAGCGGAUUGUCAUGUUUUCUCACUAAUUUUUGUUUGGAGUCUGUUUUCAUAGCUAUUAUUAGAACAAUUGCUCCCCCUUAUUUCCCCAUGCCAUGUGCUUGGACUAUCCUCCCAUCCUUCCACCCUAAGUUACUGAGGCUAAAGGGUCCGACUGUCAUUAAUGGGCUACAGCAUUUGGCAUAGCGGCAAUGCCCAGCAGCUGUGGUUGCUCCUGCAGUUAAGAUUUUUCCUCAGGGGAUAGAAUAGAGCGUAUACAUACACCACACCACCUGGAAAUCUGGACUGAACUAUUUUCUGGACUGUGCACUUCAACUCUACCACAACUAAGUCCUGUGCGAUUCUUGCAAAUGCUUCGGGGGGGGGGGGGGCACGUGGAGGCUGAUGAUUGUCUUUAAAAGAAAGAAACCAAGGUGGGAAGAGGAGCUGGAGGGGAAGCUCGGAUUCUUUUGGACAGAUUUCAGAGACUAUUCAGGAUAUGGGAGUCGUUAAGGAGUUUUUAAAAGGAGGAAGUAAAUAUGAGAGCAAGGAAAAGAGCGGGAAUACAGGGAAGAGCGUGAGAAGUGACCAGUGGUACAGUGAGGAAUAUCUUACAGGAGACUGAGAAUGAAGAUCCUAAAACCUAACAAUAUACCCACAAAGGCGGAACCGUGUGAGACGCCAGAGUGGGUGGAGAUUAAGUAAAAUGAAUCCUUGUGGAACAGAUCGCUGGCACCGCGACAGUGAAUUGAAAGAUGAAAUUCUUAAGAGGUCUCUGGCUCUAGCCUGCCCUAUUUGAACCUGUGGCCGGAAGAGGCCAGUGGGAUCUAUUCGAUGCAGUCACAUGAGAACAAAUAAAGAGCUCUAGUGACAUUCCUGCAACAUACAGACACAAUGUGACCACAUUGCACCCCAAGAUCAUCUUCGAGGUCCUGGCAUGUUUAAGUUUAAAUAGAUUAUGAUCUUGGUUGUAGUCCUUGAGCAGCGUGCCAAGAUGGUAGCACUUGUAAAAAAAAAAAAAAAAAAAAAAAAAAGUCACAACUCCUUUCCUGCCUCAGCCUGCAACUAUCACAGGAGCUGUCCAGGGAGUGGCACCUCCUCCCAGCCUUUCCAAACAGCUCAGCAGCGCGUGGAUGGCACCUCAACCUGUGUGGCCUGUGGCCAGGAAGAUCUUCCCAUCCUAACCCUUGGGCCCAAUGCAGGGAAAAGGGGUGGGGGGGGGAGAAAAAAAAGCUACCAAUCUCUGAACAGGGAAACCCACCAAUCCCUGAGCUCCCCAAACGCAGGACUUGAAAUCCCACCAAUCCUCAAUCAGGAAAUCUCUGCGAGCCUCCCGCCCCCAGAAAGCUCCGCCCCUAGCUGUAUAAACCCUGCUCUCCGUUCAACUUCUUGCUGUCCACUCCUGGGAGCAGAGGCAGCCACCCCUGGAUUUGUCUGUCCCUCGUCUUCCUGGAUUCAUCCUUCCACUAAAUCUCUUUCGUGAGAUUUGCUGUCUGGUAGAACUCUCUUAUCAGAAGAAGCCAAGAAGCAAUGAAGAGAAGGGAAGAAUGAGAAAAGGGGAGCAAGGCUGAGUGAGCUCAACUCGUGAGCCACUCAGCUCAGCUGGGGAGACCCUCUCCUGGGAGCUGCAAUGCCUCUGCUGAGGAGACUUCUCUCAGAGCUGUGUGAUUCCUGGGCCGGGCAUCUCAGGAUGUCCUUCCGUUGGGAUACCUUCCCCCCUCUGAGCAGUGUGGCUCCUGGGUUUCCGAGUCCCAGGGUACCCUUCCAUCCGGGCAGGAACACUUACAAUAGUCAAAGUGUGGUCCCGCCCAUCAUCAAAUUGUCAGUCUCUUGUAGAAAGAAGAUGGACCGGUAUGAUGUCAGAACUGUGUGAAAUCUCUUUCCCGGACGUUAAGUUUCCCCACUGACUGGCACCAGGCCCCUUUAGCAUAUUUUCAUUCCUGUCAGGAAAGUUAAAGAACCAAAAAUGGUAGUGUAGAUAGAUAUAGCCAGGUUUUCGAUCAAGAAAUUCAAAGUCAAGCAAAAACGUGGACAUUCACCAACUCUACUGGCUUCUGAGACUUUAAUGAAGUUAGUGGCCUCUCUGCUCUCUGGGUGCCUUUCUUUAGCACCACAGAAGUGACCUUAGAAAAAGAUCUUGCCAAAGGUUUCUGGUGCUAGAGAGUGACACGGUGGUGACUUCUAGACGCAAACUUUCCAAUGUGAUUGUACUUCUUAAAUUGCGCGGAAGGUUGAUAAUCAGUAAACUGUUCAUAAUCGC